rnacentral:rRNA from 1 species
UGGGGAAUUUUGGACAAUGGGGGCAACCCUGAUCCAGCCAUUCCGCGUGAGUGAAGAAGGCCUUCGGGUUGUAAAGCUCUUUCAGCAGGAACGAAACGGUCGGCUUUAAUAAAGUCGGCUAAUGACGGUACCUGCAGAAGAAGCACCGGCUAACUACGUGCCAGCAGCCGCGGUAAUACGUAGGGUGCGAGCGUUAAUCGGAAUUACUGGGCGUAAAGCGUGCGCAGGCGGCGACAUAAGACAGAUGUGAAAUCCCCGGGCUCAACCUGGGAACUGCGUUUGUGACUGUGUUGCUAGAGUGUAGCAGAGGGGGUGGAAUUCCACGUGUAGCAGUGAAAUGCGUAGAGAUGUGGAGGAACACCGAUGGCGAAGGCAGCCCCCUGGGAUAACACUGACGCUCAUGCACGAAAGCGUGGGGAGCAAACAGGAUUAGAUACCCACGUAGUCCCUGAGCGGGCUGGCAAGGCGCAU